rnacentral:rRNA from 1 species
GAUGAACGCUGGCGGCGUGCCUAAUACAUGCCAGUCGAGCGAACAGACGAGGAGCUUGCUCCUCUGACGUUAGCGGCGGACGGGUGAGUAACACGUGGAUAACCUACCUAUAAGACUGGGAUAACUUCGGGAAACCGGAGCUAAUACCGGAUAAUAUAUUGAACCGCAUGGUUCAAUAGUGAAAGACGGUUUUGCUGUCACUUAUAGAUGGAUCCGCGCCGCAUUAGCUAGUUGGUAAGGUAACGGCUUACCAAGGCAACGAUGCGUAGCCGACCUGAGAGGGUGAUCGGCCACACUGGAACUGAGACACGGUCCAGACUCCUACGGGAGGCAGCAGUAGGGAAUCUUCCGCAAUGGGCGAAAGCCUGACGGAGCAACGCCGCGUGAGUGAUGAAGGUCUUCGGAUCGUAAAACUCUGUUAUUAGGGAAGAACAAAUGUGUAGGUAACUAUGCACGUCUUGACGGUACCUAAUCAGAAAGCCACGGCUAACUACGUG